rnacentral:lncRNA from 1 species
CAUUUGAUCAUCUCUCUCUGUUGUAAGUUCAGCUGCACGAAAACUGCAAGUGUGGGGGGGUCGCCCGACGCCCCAACUUCAUCUCUGAACUGCCGUGAGCAUGGAACAACACUGCAUACACCUCGGCACGUCAUGGCACCAAAAACAGGCGCGAUGAGGGGGUCGCCCGACCCCCUUUCUAUGGCAAAAGGAAACGACACAAGUGCAGAAAGACUUCCCGAGGGACGUAGAAUCGAGUGGCAGGGCCAGGAACCUCUAGGUGGGGUCGGCCGACCCUUCCAUGGAGCCCUGGGCCCACCAGGCAGCUUCUAUACGACGAAAGACAUCUUUCCUGCCCGGUUUGCUAAUUCUUCCCCCUCUC